UACGAACCCGUCCAAACGUUAUUCGGAUUUAUUGGGCUUAAAGGGUAUGUAGGCGGCCCUUCAAGUCGGGUGUGAAAGCCCUCGGCUCAACCGAGGAACUGCGCCCGAUACUGUGGGGCUCGAGGGAGACAGAGGUAAGCGGAACUGAUGGUGGAGCGGUGAAAUGCGUUGAUAUCAUCAGGAACACCAGUGGCGAAAGCGGCUUACUGGGUCUCUUCUGACGCUGAGAUACGAAAGCUAGGGGAGCGAACGGGAUUAGAAACCCUGGUAGU
rnacentral:rRNA from 1 species